rnacentral:rRNA from 1 species
UACAGGGGGGGCAAGCGUUGUUCGGAAUUACUGGGCGUAAAGGGUCUGUAGGUGGCCAACUAAGUCAGACGUGAAAUCCCUCAGCUUAACUGGGGAACUGCGUCUGAUACUGGAUGGCUUGAGUGUGGGAGAGGAAUGCGGAAUUCCAGGUGUAGCGGUGAAAUGCGUAGAUAUCUGAAGGAACACCGGUGGCGAAGGCGGCAUCCUGGACCGGUAUUGACGCUGAGGCGCGAAAGCUAGGGGAGCAAACGGG